CCUACGGGAGGCUGCAGUGAGGAAUAUUGGUCAAUGGACGCAAGUCUGAACCAGCCAUGCCGCGUGCAGGAAGACGGCUCUAUGAGUUGUAAACUGCUUUUGUACGAGGGUAAACGCAGAUACGCGUAUCUGUCUGAAAGUAUCGUACGAAUAAGGAUCGGCUAACUCAGUGCCAGCAGCCGCGGUAAUACGGAGGAUUCAAGCGUUAGCCGGAUUUAGUGGGUUUAAAGGGUGCGUAGGCGGUCGGAGAAGGUAGAGGGGAAAUCCCGAGGCUCAACUUCGGAAUUGCUUCUGAUACUGUUCGGCUAGAGAGUAGUUGCGGUAGGUGGAAUGUAUGGUGUAGCGGUGAAAUGCUUAGAGAUCAUACAGAACACCGAUUGCGAAGGCAGCUUACCAAGCUACUUCUGACGCUGAAGCACGAAGGCGUGGGUAUCGAACAGGAUUAGAUACCCUGGUAGUC
rnacentral:rRNA from 1 species